rnacentral:tRNA from 1 species
CAAAAUGUAGCUUAACUUAAAGCACCUCGCUUACACCAAGAAAAUAUCUGUGAAAAUCUGAUCAUUUUGA